GAUGAACGCUGGCGGCGUGCCUAACACAUGCAAGUCGAGCGAUUCUCUUCGGAGAAGAGCGGCGGACGGGUGAGUAACGCGUGGGUAACCUGCCCUGUACACACGGAUAACAUACCGAAAGGUAUGCUAAUACGAGAUAAUAUACCUUUAUCGCAUGGUACAAGUAUAAAAGCUUUUGCGGUACAGGAUGGACCCGCAUCUGAUUAGAUAGUUGGUAAGGUAACGGCUUACCAAGGCGACGAUCAGUAGCCGACCUGAGAGGGUGAUCGUCGACAUUGGAGCUGAGACACGGUCCAAAAUCCUACGGGAGGCAGCAGUGGGGAAUAUUGCACAAUGGGCGAAAGCCUGAUGCAGCAACGCCGCGUGAGCGAUGAAGGCCGUCGGGUCGUAAAGCUCUGUCAUCAAGGAAGAUAAUGACGGUACUUGAGGAGGAAGCCCCGGCUAACUACGUGCCAGCCGCCGCCGUAA
rnacentral:rRNA from 1 species